AAAGUAAUCAAGCGGAUAGAGGAGAGAGAAUAAAAUGUGUGUUUUAUUAAAUACUUGUACAACUGCCACAGUACCGUACUUAAGGAAAUAGUGGGAUGUAGGACUUGAACGAUUGACGAACAGGCAGAACAUUAUUCAACAAUGAUUUUGGCACUAGGACUUUCAGUUAUUCUGUUAAGACACAUAACAGAAGCAGAAAAUAUUACCUGCAACACUUUAUGCAUACGUGGUCCCUAUAAUGCAACAGAGACGUGUAACACAACUACUGGUGAAUGUUUAUAUGGCUGUACCGUUGGGUUCGCUGGACCAAAUUG